CCUACGGGAGACAGCAGUGAGGAAUAUUGGUCAAUGGACGAGAGUCUGAACCAGCCAAGUAGCGUGAAGGAUGACGGCCCUAUGGGUUGUAAACUUCUUUUAUAAGGGAAUAAAACGAGGCACGUGUGCCUUAUUGCAUGUACUGUAUGAAUAAGGAUCGGCUAACGCCGUGCCGGCAGCCGCGGUAAUACGGAGGGUCCGAGCGUUAUCCGGAUUUAUUGGGGUGAAAGGGAGCGUAGAUGGGUUGUUAAGGCAGUUGUGAAAGUUUGCGGCUCAACCCUAGAAUUGCAAUUGAUACUGGCAGUCUUGAGUACACUUGAGGUAGGCGGAAUUCGUGGUGUAGCGGU
rnacentral:rRNA from 1 species